rnacentral:misc_RNA from 1 species
UCAGAAUGCGGCGAGGGCGGCGUCGAGAGAGUGGAGCUGCUCUCUCCGUACGUCGGGCGCUGUGUUCCCCAACAAUUUCAAAGUGAACGGUUAAGUGACAGUUUGAGAGGAAUCGACAUGAUUGUCAUCGACGAACCAGACUACAAGCUUAGGUAGCAGUCAUGGAUUCCUUAAGAAUGGAGGAGGGUCAUCCGUUUUCGUUAUUCUCGUCAAGAAACGUCACUUAGGGGUCGCCCCACCAUGAGAGUUUCGGGGGUGGCUGUCAUGGGUGGCGGUCGAAAUGGUCGUGGAACCUUGGUGAGAACCCUGGCCCUCGUCUUCCUGGCAACUCUUCUCUGGCUGCAAUUUCACGUGGCCAGUUUGACAAGUCGUUCCAGUUCGCCGCCGUCAGGAAACGAGAGUCUCCUAAUGCUUGUGCCUCAGGAACUGCACAGGUUUCUGAAGGACAGGCGAAACUCGACCGCCGGAUCCAAUUCGACGGCCGGAAUAUCUGGGAAUCUUACGAUAUCCGAGCUACGUCGACAGGUAGAAAAGGCUAAUCUGGAACAACGCGUUUUCAACGAGGAGGCUUUUGGUCCCCUGGCUUCCGACGCCCCAGUAAUUGUCAUUCAGGUUCACGCCAGACUCACUUACUUGAGGCACUUGAUCGUCUCCCUGGCACAAGCUAAGGGGAUCGAACAAACGCUCCUCAUUUUUAGUCACGACGUAUGGGAUCCGGACAUCAAUUUUCUCGUGCAGAGCGUCGAUUUCUGCAGAGUUAUGCAGAUCUUUUAUCCCUACAGCAUACAGACUCAUCCCCACACAUUUCCUGGCGAGGAUCCCAACGAUUGUCCACGUAACAUUAAGAGGGAAAGUGCUCUGGUGAAGAAAUGCAUAAACGCGGAGCAUCCCGACCUCUACGGACAUUACAGGGAGGCGAAAUUUACCCAAACUAAACACCACUGGUGGUGGAAGGCGAAUCGAGUAUUCGACCAGUUAACCGUAACGAAAAACCACGUUGGGAUGGUUUUGUUCCUUGAGGAGGAUCACUACGUCGCCGAAGACUUUUUGCACGUACUUAGACUGAUGGAACGUACAUGUAAGCACAGCUGUGAACGUUGCAACAUUUUGUCGCUGGGAACGUACCUUAAAACUUACAACUAUUACGCGGACAACAAAAAGUUUCUCGGUGUCAAUGGUGUACUGCAAAAGGAAAUGCUUCGCGGAUUAAAGAGACACAAUGGAAUCAUUCAGGGUGGCUUUUCUACCUAUCAAGGUGCUCAAUUGGUACAAGCUGCUGCCCCUGCUUGGGCAUUCCAGCUUUUGCCCAACCUCUACAACCAUUAUCAGAAGGCAGAGGUAACACCGUGGAUUUCUAGUAAACAUAAUAUGGGUAUGGCGUUCAAUCGUAUUACUUGGAACAAACUGAGAGACUGUGCUUCCAAAUUCUGCUCUUACGACGACUAUAACUGGGACUGGAGCCUUCAGCAUAUCGCUCAAGGAUGCAUCCCAUCAAGUCAAGGCUCCGGUGGCUUAUCUCACAUCCAAUCUGGCCUAAUCGCCAUGGUGAUGAAAGCACCUAGAAUUUUUCACAUCGGAGAAUGGAAUAGCGGAAGUGAUUAAAACUCUGAACACCGUAUAUGCUUCGUUUGUGAUGAAUCGAUCCAUCAGCUAACACAGUUUUGUAAGAAAAUUCUGGUUCAAAACGAGUCUGCUAGUACAAAGGACAUAUUACCCGUCAUGCAAACUGUGUAGAAUGUCGAAGGAUCUGCAUCCCAGGUGACGGUUGGUUGGUCUUUCACCAGCGUUGGCGUAAGAACUUUCCCAAUGUCAACGGACAAAUUUCCAGGGUAUGAUACCUUGGCAAUCGAGGCUGGUACCUUGUCGAUUACGUCCGGCACAACGCCGUGCUGUUUCAGUGCUUCGGUCAUUGUUGAAGAUAGAACUCUAGGCGUGUAGCUGAAGGUUCUCUUGGCUAGCAGUGAAGCUGAAAUGAUUCAAGUCAUUACGUUGAUACUGAUACAGCUUACAGAUAACGUGUAUAAUCAUAGAUAUAAGAGAAAUGGACAAGAUUUUGUAGUGCUGAUAAAAUGAAUGGCGCACUAGCAAAGCUGUGAUAACCCUACAUCACUUUCCCAGUACACACGCAGAGCUACCGAUCAGAUCACCCAGACAUAAUCUGAAUACACUGUUCAUUAAGCUUG